rnacentral:lncRNA from 1 species
GAGCAAUUGUGACAUCAAGCAAAAUGUCAGGCACCAAUCCAAAGAUUAAAAUAUAAAUAUGAACUAGAAUAAGGCAUGCUCCAUUAUUUCUCUCUUCCAGUCAUGAGCUGAUUGUACUUCUCGGGAAAGAAGGGCCAUUGAUUUUGGUAUCCAACACCCAACAGUUCAAAGUAUGGUAACAUUUUCUAGGUCCUUCUGGCCCAGCUAGGACAUCUGGCCUGAAGUCUCACAAUGGAGAGAGGCUGUUUCUUCUUCAAGUCCUGUCAAACAACAAGGAUUUCCUGAUCCCUGUUACAUUAUCUCCAAAGCAGAUAACAGCAUUGAGGAAUUAAGUGAAUGCAGAACUAAGACAAUCAUUCAGAAGAGCCACCCCACGGCCUUCCUCAGAAGCCUUCGGGAAACAUCAUGCAGUGUCCUCCUUUAAACUGAGUGUUUAUCUUCAUUCUUUAUGUUACUGAUAUUCAACUGUCCUAUGGCCAUUCUUAGCAAUAUAGAUGUUCCUGUAGGUCAAAGAAUGGAAAGCAACUUCAGAGAAAGGCAAAAAUGGAAGGAGAAUGCAGGCCAGAAGUUAGCCUAUUUAUACGUGAAAACAACAGCUAAUCCCCUGGGCAUGGAGUGGGGAGCUUAAAUCAUACCACUUUAGCAAGACCCACCAUGCUUCCCUGCCUUGGUGACUGAUGUCUUUCCUAGGAUGCUUUUGAAUCACAAGCAAUGUGAGCCAAUAUCUACAAAGCUCCUGAUGCUGCAUACGUUGAAGGCAGAAGAGUGGUUUGAUAACGGACUGUCUAAUAGUCACCACCAGAUGAUUCCUACGAUCUCCUGUGACCUUCAAAGUGGGCCCAUAUACCCUGCGGGAAGUAUAAGGAACUCCACUGGGAUGCUGGAAGGAAAUAAUAGAACUUCUGUUUAUACUUUAUUUUUCAUCUCAUCCUUUUGUAAUUUCUAUUUUUGUGUAUGCUUUAC